GUGAAUCAUCGAAUCUUUGAACGCAAAUUGCACUCUCUUCGGAGAGUAUGCCUGUUUGAGGGUCAGCCUAAAAAAAAAUCGACGUAGUCGCUGUUUCGCGGUGACAUUCGUCGGAAAUUGGGUCAUCUUAAACCUUUGGGUUUUUUAAGCUGCUUAAAAUUUUCUUUAUGAUUCCACAAACUUUCCUAAGAUUUUACUUCUUAUACACGUUUAAGGUAUCUAUCUUUAUUAUACGUGGCCCUUUAA
rnacentral:misc_RNA from 1 species